CCGAACAGAUCCGGGCCUACUUUGACGAUGAGAAUGAUGGUCUUCGCUCAGUGGCCUUUGUCCUAUUUGGCAUCCUGGCUCAGUUGACAAAGAAAAAAUGGAAGGCCUAUUUCGCUGAGCAGGUUCGAAAGAGCUGGGUCAUACUUCUGCUGCACCUGCAAGACCCAAGUCCCGAGGUUUCAAUGGAAUGCAGAGCUACAUUUCACCUCUGUUUCCCGUUUUGGGACUGAAGAGACUCCAAC